UUUAAAUGAUAUAGUAAGCAUAAAAAUAAAAAUAUGGAGAUAUGCAACUCCCAAGUAUCAAACUCAUCCCACUAAAGCAAGUGAAACUACUUUCUCUCCACUAGGCCACUUAUGGUCAUUUGUUAUCUUAAUAAUAAUUUGAAUAUGUAAACUAGAAUAGAUUAAAAUAAAAAUUAAAAUAAAAAACUAAAAUGAGGUGGUCUGUUAAUGGACAACCAAUUAAC
rnacentral:lncRNA from 1 species